rnacentral:lncRNA from 1 species
CUUAAAAUAGGCUGGAGAGAGUAUGAAGGGUUGUUUUGAUUCAAUGUUAGAAAGUUGAAUCUACUAUACGAGUGCUGGGGAUUUGCCAGCAUUGGUGUCUGUAUGAAGAUUUCAGCAUAAGCAUAAAUUAAAGUGUUUUUUUUUUUUCCUUCCUAGUUGGUGAUCUACAAUUAUAUUCAGUCUCUCAGAAGCUGGCACGAGAAAACUUUUACAGUGGAUUCAACGAAUGUAUCCCUUUUCCAGGGGAGGAUGCUAGAGAAAACAAAAGAUAAGGAACGUGAAGCCCUGGAAAUUCAAGUGAUUUGCCCAAGGUCACAGUCUGUGUUGCUGUAAAGUUUCCUCUUCGCUGGAUCCCAAAG